rnacentral:siRNA from 1 species
GAUCUUGCUGAGUUCCCAGGACCU